rnacentral:rRNA from 1 species
GACAGAGGAUGCAAGCGUUAUCCGGAAUGAUUGGGCGUAAAGCGUCUGUAGGUGGCUUUUUAAGUCCGCCGUCAAAUCCCAGGGCUCAACCCUGGACAGGCGGUGGAAACUACCAAGCUGGAGUACGGUAGGGGCAGAGGGAAUUUCCGGUGGAGCGGUGAAAUGCGUAGAGAUCGGAAAGAACGCCAAGGGCGAAGGCACUCUGCUAGGCCUGAUUUCGCGACUGACACUCAGGACGAGAGCCAGGGGAGCGAAUGGG